AUACGGAGGGUGCAAGCGUUAAUCGGAAUUACUGGGCGUAAGGCGUACGUAGGCGGUUAUUUAAGUCAGAUGUGAAAGCCCCGGGCUUAACUUGGGAACUGCAUUUGAAACUGGGUAACUAGAGUUUAGUAGAGGGGAGUGGAAUUUCAGGUGUAGCGGUGAAAUGCGUAGAGAUCUGAAGGAACACCAGUGGCGAAGGCGACUCCCUGGACUAAAACUGACGCUGAGGUACGAAAGCGUGGGUAGCAAACAGGAUUAGAAACCCUAGUAGUCC
rnacentral:rRNA from 1 species